GGGGCCUCAGGGAGCAGAAGUGGGACACCUCCACCAUGGCCUGGACCUCUCUCCUCCUCGGCCUCCUCGCUCACUGCACAGGGUCUGUGGCCUCCUAUGAGGUGACACAGCCACCCUCGAUGUCAGUGCAGCCAGGACAGACAGCCAGGAUCACCUGUGGGGGAGACAACAUUGGAAGAAAAAGUGUUGACUGGCUCCAGCAGAAGCCCAGCAAGGCCCCUGUAACCAUCAUCUACAGUGAUAGCAGCAGGCCCUCAGGGAUCCCUGACCGGUUCUCAGGCUCCAACUCGGGGAACACGGCCACCCUGACCAUCAGCGGGGUCCAGGCCCAGGGACGAGGCUGA